rnacentral:rRNA from 1 species
AGCAGCCGCGGUAAUUCCAGCUCCAAUAGCGUAUAUUAAAGUUGUUGCAGUUAAAAAGCUCGUAGUUGAACUUCGGGGUUUACUCAUUGGUCAGGCUUAAUUGUCUGUACUGGUGAGAUGAAUCUCUACCUUCUGAGGAACUUUCAUGCCAUUUAUUUGGUGUGGUUGGAAAUCAGGACUGUUACUUUGAAAAAUUAGAGUGUUUAAAGCAGGCUAACGUCUGAAUACAUUAGCAUGGAAUAAUGAAAUAGGACGGAUUGAUUCUAUUUCGUUGGUUUCUAGGGUCACCGUAAUGAUUAAUAGGGAUAGUUGGGGGCAUUAGUAUUCAAUUGUCAGAGGUGAAAUUCUUGGAUUUAUUGAAGACUAACUACUGCGAAAGCAUUUGCCAAGGAUGUUUUCAUUAAUCAAGAACGAAAGUUAGGGGAUCGAAGACGAUCAGAUACCGUCGUAGUCUUAACCAUAAACUAUGCCGACUAGGGAUCGGACGAAGUUAAUUAAUAAUGACGCGUUCGGCACCUUA